GACGAACGCUGGCGGCGUGCUUAACACAUGCAAGUCGAACGAUGAAACCUAGCUUGCUAGGUCGAUUAGUGGCGAACGGGUGAGUAACACGUGACUAACCUGCCCCUUUCUCUGGGAUAACGCUCCGAAAGGAGUGCUAAUACCGGAUACUCACAUCGAGGCACAUGCCUUGAUGUGGAAAGUUUUUCGGAAAGGGAUGGAGUCGCGGCCUAUCAGCUUGUUGGUGAGGUAACGGCUCACCAAGGCGACGACGGGUAGCCGGCCUGAGAGGGCGACCGGCCACACUGGGACUGAGACACGGCCCAGACUCCUACGGGAGGCAGCAGUGGGGAAUAUUGCACAAUGGGCGCAAGCCUGAUGCAGCGACGCCGCGUGAGGGAUGAAGGUCUUCGGGUUGUAAACCUCUUUCAGUAGGGACGAAGCGAAAGUGACGGUACCUAAAGAAGAAGCACCGGCUAACUACGUGCCAGCCGCCGCCGUAA
rnacentral:rRNA from 1 species